rnacentral:tRNA from 1 species
CGGAAAUAGCUCAGUUGGUAGAGCGUUGGCUUCCCAAGCCGAAGGUCGCGGGUCCGAACCCCGUUUUCCG